UCCGACUUGACGUCGGCAGUCUCGUUAGAGUGCCCAACUUAAUGCUGGCAACUAACGACAGAGGUUGCGCUCGUUGCGGGACUUAACCCAACAUCUCACGACACGAGCUGACGACAGCCAUGCAGCACCUUCUCACUCGCUCCCCGAAGGGCACCCCUGUAUCUCUACAAGGUUCGAGUGGAUUUAACCCAGGUAAGGUUCUGCGCGUUGCGUCGAAUUGAACCACAUGCUCCGCCGCUUGUGCGGGCCCCCGUCAAUUUCUUUGAGUUUUAGCCUUGCGGCCGUACUCCCCAGGCGGGGUACUUAAUGCGUUAGCUGCGACACUGAAAAGCUAGGCUUCCCAACGUCUAGCACUCAUCGUUUACGGCGUGGACUAC
rnacentral:misc_RNA from 1 species